CCAACAUGGAUACCCCAGGAGGUCACGCUCCCCAGGCUCUGUCCAUGGUCUAGGGGAGCAUAGGGCUCUGCCCCAUGGUGUGCAAUCUCUUUCCACAACAUUAGAGAAGAAGCUGGGCCUCGUGCCUGCACCUGCAUAUCUCUACAACUUCUCAGAGUCCUUUGGCAAUGACUAAGGAGACAAACCAUGCAGAAAACAAUG
ensembl:snoRNA SNORA73 Small nucleolar RNA SNORA73 family